UACGGGGGGGCAAGCGUUGUUCGGAAUUACUGGCGUAAAGCGCGCGUAGGCGGCCAGAUAAGUCCGGUGUGAAAGUCACAGGCUCAACCUGUGAAUGCCGCUGGAAACUGCCGGGCUGGAGUCCGGAAGAGGCGAGUGGAAUUCCUGGUGUGAGCGGUGAAAUGCGCAGAUAUCAGGAGGAACACCAAUGGCGAAGGCAGCUCGCUGGGACGGUACUGACGCUGAGACGCGAAAGCGUGGGGAGCAAACAGG
rnacentral:rRNA from 1 species